CAGAGAAUGAGGAAGACUGCUGCUACAGUAGAGGAGAAGAGAACUGAAGGGGUGAAGAUCUUCUUGGGGAGAAGAGGCUGAUGGAACAAACCUGGCCUGGCAACAUCACCUUUCCUGGGCUCCAUUUUAUCAUUGCUGAGUUGGAUAGAGACAGCAAUGGUCAGAGCCCUCACUGACCACUGUGAGUGAACCCCAGACCAUUAGCCCUGGGUCUCAAAGGAUGAAAUGACUGCAUUUGACUUUCACUCACUGGAAAUGAUUCCCCCCCUCUCCCUGCAGUGACCCUGCGUUCUGGCUCACUCCUGGCUUCUUACUGGGUAAUUUGUGCUCCUGGCUGAACCUUCGGGUAUUUUCUCAGCCUGGUGGAUGUGGCUGACUUUAUCCCUGGGGUGUCGUUCUAGAGAAGGAGUUCCUCAUAUUCCCAGAAACAAAGAAAUCCAAAAAAGGAAAAAAAAAAAAAAAAAAAAAGAGGGAAAAUGGAGCCUACAAGCUGUGACAUCAGGCUACAACUGGCCUCUAUGAAGCCUGGCGCUUAAUGAGCUUGGGAUCCCGGAGGACUUCUUCAAGCCUGAUAAUGCUCUCUCAUAAAACUUUUUGAAGCCAUGGCAAUCACUGGGGACUCCAAGUCAAAUGGUAACACAGUUUAAUUAAGUGGGUGCAUGAACUUUCUAAGAUGUUUGUAGAUUUUGGUGUGUACAUGCAUUUUUCUGAGGAGACAGUCUCAAACUCUCAAACAGGCCAGUGACCCCACGAAAUUUAAGAAUUAGCAAUUUCAUGAUUCCUCCCUCUUUCCAAAGAACCCAAAUGCAGAUGUUCACUUGAGGGACCAAUGCUGAAACUUUUCCACACCCUUGGCUUCCUCCCUCACUCCUUUAGCCUCCAGCAGCUCCGACAGUAUGUCUCAGCGUG
ensembl:lncRNA